AAGGGCACAUUGUCAGACUUCCACCUACAGGCCCAACCCAAUCCCCACCCCCAGGGAUGCACUAGGCAGGCAAGACAACUGCACUCCACAGCUCUAGAGUCUACCUUAGGAUAGAACUAGUUCUUUGAGUUGCACUUCCUCACGCUUCACCUUAUUGGAACAGACUUCUUGGAAAAAUCCAGUUGGCUUCAAGGAACUUCAGGAGGGCAUUGUGCUCUGGGGAGAAAGCAGCUUCUGAUGGGUUUUUCGGCUGGGAGGGGCGGAAAAAUUAGGCAGACCCGGAGCUCCCGUAGGCUGAAAAACUUGCUCCUCUUCCCCCUCGGGCUAUCCUGGCCUAGUAAUGGAGAUCUGAAAAAAAUCUAGACUUCUUUCGG
rnacentral:lncRNA from 1 species